CCCUUAGAUGUUCUGGGCUGCACGCGCGCUACACUGAAGCUAUCAACACGUUUUCCCUCCCUGAGAAGGGCGGGUAACCUUUUGAAUCAGCUUCGUGGUAGGGAUCGGGGCUUGCAAUUGUUCCCCGUGAACCAGGAAUUCCUAGUAGACGCGAGUCAUAAGCUCGCAUCGAUUAAGUCCCUGCCCUUUGUACGCACCGCCCGUCGCUACUACCGAUUGAACGUUUUAGUGAGGCAUUUGGACCGACGCAUCUCAGUUUAACCGCUGGUUUGUGUUGGAAAGACUUCCAAACUUGAGCGUUUAGAGGAAGUGAAAGUCGUAACA
rnacentral:rRNA from 1 species